rnacentral:rRNA from 1 species
GACGUAGGGCGCGAGCGUUGUCCGGAUUUAUUGGGCGUAAAGAGCUCGUAGGCGGCUUGUCGCGUCGGAUGUGAAAGCCCGGGGCUUAACUCCAGGUCUGCAUUCGAUACGGGCUGGCUAGAGGUAGGUAGGGGAGAACGGAAUUCCUGGUGUAGCGGUGAAAUGCGCAGAUAUCAGGAGGAACACCGGUGGCGAAGGCGGUUCUCUGGGCCUUACCUGACGCUGAGGAGCGAAAGCGUGGGGAGCGAACAGG